UGGGGAAUAUUGGACAAUGGGCGCAAGCCUGAUCCAGCCAUGCCGCGUGAGUGACGAAGGCCUUAGGGUUGUAAAGCUCUUUUGGCGGGGAAGAUAAUGACGGUACCCGCAGAACAAGCUCCGGCUAACUUCGUGCCAGCAGCCGCGGUAAUACGAAGGGAGCUAGCGUUGUUCGGAAUCACUGGGCGUAAAGCGCACGUAGGUGGGCAGUUAAGUCAGGGGUGAAAGCCCGAGGCUCAACCUCGGAAUUGCCUCUGAUACUGGCUGUCUAGAGUUCGAGAGAGGUGAGUGGAAUUCCUAGUGUAGAGGUGAAAUUCGUAGAUAUUAGGAAGAACACCGGUGGCGAAGGCGGCUCACUGGCUCGAUACUGACACUGAGGUGCGAAAGCGUGGGGAGCAAACAGGAUUAGAUACCCCCGUAGUCCCUGAGCGGGCUGGCAAGGCG
rnacentral:rRNA from 1 species